GCACUAAGCAAUGGAUUCCCAUCAGCCAAGGAAAAAAAAAAUGAUGCUGAUGAAUUUUAAAGUUCAUGUAGUCGGAGAUGUCCUGAUGCCUGCCACAAUGAACUUGACUGAUACAACCCAACAAGCAGAUGCUUGGUGUCUGGCCUGAAGCAUUGUUUAGCGGGAUGAGAGAUUAUAGGGCUCUUUACAAGUGAUCACCUACCAUGUAUGUGGGUAAAGGUUGACUACACAACCACCGUUCUGUAAAAAUGUGUUAAUCACAAGAAAAAUACCACAAACCAUCAGAAAGAUUUGGCCUAGAUGUCCUGGAGAUAUUGGUACAACAAACAAACAAACAAAACUCCAAAACAAAAGAAAUUCACAAACAAACAACAAGACCAAUGGCAUGUUUCAGUCUGUUGACUUUUUACCAGACAAGAAAUAAAAACUCUUCCUGGC
ensembl:lincRNA 1700080G11Rik RIKEN cDNA 1700080G11 gene